rnacentral:rRNA from 1 species
UCGAAUUUUUCACUCCCAACCCCUGUGACAUACCUUACUGUUGCCUCGGCGGAUCAGCCCGCUCCCGGUAAAACGGGACGGCCCGCCAGAGGACCCCUAAACUCUGUUUCUAUAUGUAACUUCUGAGUAAAACCAUAAAUAAAUCAAAACUUUCAACAACGGAUCUCUUGGUUCUGGCAUCGAUGAAGAACGCAGCAAAAUGCGAUAAGUAAUGUGAAUUGCAGAAUUCAGUGAAUCAUCGAAUCUUUGAACGCACAUUGCGCCCGCCAGUAUUCUGGCGGGCAUGCCUGUUCGAGCGUCAUUUCAACCCUCAAGCCCUCGGGUUUGGUGUUGGGGAUCGGCGAGCCUUUCUGGCAAGCCGGCCCCGAAAUCUAGUGGCGGUCUCGCUGCAGCCUCCAUUGCGUAGUAGUAAAACCCUCGCAACUGGAACGCGGCGCGGCCAAGCCGUUAAACCCCCAACUUCUGAAUGUUGACCUCGGAUCAGGUAGGAAUACCCGCUGAACUUAAGCAUAUCAAAGCCGG